GCUUGCUUCUCUUGAGAGCGGCGGACGGGUGAGUAAUGCCUAGGAAUCUGCCUGGUAGUGGGGGAUAACGUUCGGAAACGGACGCUAAUACCGCAUACGUCCUACGGGAGAAAGCAGGGGACCUUCGGGCCUUGCGCUAUCAGAUGAGCCUAGGUCGGAUUAGCUAGUUGGUGAGGUAAUGGCUCACCAAGGCGACGAUCCGUAACUGGUCUGAGAGGAUGAUCAGUCACACUGGAACUGAGACACGGUCCAGACUCCUACGGGAGGCAGCAGUGGGGAAUAUUGGACAAUGGGCGAAAGCCUGAUCCAGCCAUGCCGCGUGUGUGAAGAAGGUCUUCGGAUUGUAAAGCACUUUAAGUUGGGAGGAAGGGUUGUAGAUUAAUACUCUGCAAUUUUGACGUUACCGACAGAAUAAGCACCGGCUAACUCUGUGCCAGCAGCCGCGGUAAUACAGAGGGUGCAAGCGUUAAUCGGAAUUACUGGGCGUAAAGCGCGCGUAGGUGGUUUGUUAAGUUGGAUGUGAAAUCUCCGGGCUCAACCUGGGAACUGCAUU
rnacentral:rRNA from 1 species